rnacentral:lncRNA from 1 species
CCAAAAAGAGCAGAUCAAAUCUAUAACAUCCACUCACCUUAAAAACUUUAGGUUCCAUGUCUGGUACCAUAACCUAUUUCACUGCAUUGGCAACAUAGAAAUAGGUAUAAUUCAUAGUAGUGAGAAGAUUAGAUAAGAUAGUUUUGAACAAGAGUCCUAUUAAAUACAAAAUAGGACUCUUAACCUGAUAUAGUCCUCAUAAAAGCA